CCUACGGGUGGCAGCAGUGGGGAAUAUUGGACAAUGGGCGAAAGCCUGAUCCAGCCAUGCCGCGUGUGUGAAGAAGGCCUUCGGGUUGUAAAGCACUUUCAGUGGGGAAGAAAGCCUUGGGGCUAAUACCCUCGAGGAAGGACAUCACCCACAGAAGAAGCACCGGCUAACUCCGUGCCAGCAGCCGCGGUAAUACGGAGGGUGCGAGCGUUAAUCGGAAUUACUGGGCGUAAAGCGCGCGUAGGCGGUCUGAUAAGCCGGUUGUGAAAGCCCCGGGCUCAACCUGGGAACGGCAGCCGGAACUGUCAGGCUAGAGUGCAGGAGAGGAAGGUAGAAUUCCCGGUGUAGCGGUGAAAUGCGUAGAGAUCGGGAGGAAUACCAGUGGCGAAGGCGGCCUUCUGGACUGACACUGACGCUGAGGUGCGAAAGCGUGGGUAGCAAACAGGAUUAGAUACCCGUGUAGUC
rnacentral:rRNA from 1 species